rnacentral:rRNA from 1 species
UACGGAGGGGGCUAGCGUUGUUCGGAAUUACUGGGCGUAAAGCGCACGUAGGCGGCUUUGUAAGUUAGAGGUGAAAGCCCUGGGCUCAACCCAGGAACUGCUUCGAAUACUGGCGGACUUGAGGCUAGUAUGGGUCACUGGAACUGACGGUGGAGCGGUGAAAUGCGUAGAUAUCGUCAGGAACGCCAAUGGUGAAGACAGGUGACUGGGCUAGAUCUGACACUGAGGCACGAAAGCGUGGGGAGAGAACGGG